rnacentral:lncRNA from 1 species
CUGUCAGAUCAACAUUGGAAGUGAACAAGAUUUCUGUGCAAAGAUUUUCCUUGGUCAAAGAGUGCAACAUGAGCUGCUGUGAAUAUUAACUUUACUGCCAGAUGAACAUUGGAAGUGAACAAGAUUUCUGCACAGAGAUUUUCCUUGGUCAAUGAGUGCAACAUGAGCGGUGGAUGUGAACUUUACUGUCAGAUGUACAUUGAUUGGAAAGUGAACAAGAUAUCUGCACUGAGUGUUGAAGAAAGUUGAAAGGCACCCAGAUUCAUUAAUUAA